GAAAUAAGAUUUUAAAUGAGUGCUAAGAGAAUGAUUAAACAAUUAAAAGCUUUCUUUAAUUAAAAAAUUAAAUUUAAUUUUUUAGUGCAAAAUCAAAAAUAAAAUUUAGGGACAAGAAGACCCUAUGAAUUUUUAUUGUUAAUAAUUAAUAUUUAAGUUAUUAAUAAUUUAAUUGGGGCGAUAAAAAAAGAAUAAGUAUCUUUUUAGUUAUAAAAUAAGUUCCGUUUUUAGCGAUUAAAUGAAAUAAAUACUCUAGGGAUAACAGCGUAAUAAUUUUGGAUAGUUCAUAUAGAUAAAAUAGUUUGCGACCUCGAUGUUGGAUUAGGAUUCUU
rnacentral:rRNA from 1 species